ensembl:misc_RNA Y_RNA Y RNA
GGCUGGUCUGAGUGUAGGGAUGUUUACAACUAAUUGAUCACAGCCAGUUACAGACAUCUUUGUUCUUUCUCUAAACCUACUGCUUCACUUGACUAGCCUUAA